UACGUAGGUGGCAAGCGUUGUCCGGAUUUACUGGGCGUAAAGGGUUUGUAGGUGGCUCGCUAAGUCAGACGUGAAAUCCCUCGGCUCAACCGGGGAACUGCGUCUGAGACUGGCGAGCUCGAGUGCAGGAGAGGAACGCGGAAUUCCAGGUGUAGCGGUGAAAUGCGUAGAUAUCUGGAGGAACACCGGUGGCGAAGGCGGCGUUCUGGACUGCAACUGACACUGAAAAACGAAAGCCAGGGGAGCAAACGGG
rnacentral:rRNA from 1 species